UUCCCUAAACCCCCUCACCUUUCAAAAGUUUCACUAAACCCCCUGACCUUUAUGGCGGCGCCAUUCACGGCCCUUCUGAAGAAAAAAAACACAAAAUCGCGGCGCCGCCAACGAUUUAAUCGUUUGCAUGCGUUUUCCUCGCCACCUGUCGACCCACGUGACCUGUCCUCUGUCAGUUGCAACAGUCCCUCCCUCUGACAUGUCGGUUGACUUUUCAAAUUUUAAAAUCAAAAAAAAAAUUAACCGCUCGGUAAAUUUUCUCUCUCUUUCAUCUUCUUUCUGACAUACUCUUUCUUCUUCAUUAUAUUUGUUUUUGAAAUCAGUCUUUUUCUAUUUCCCAUCUCCUCUGACCUAGACGUUUGUCAUCGUCGUUUGGUUGCUCUUCAUUUUCUCUCGUUCUGUAGUUCGCCUGCGUUGCAUUUCGAGGAAGAACAAAUCCGGGCUAAGAAGAUAAUGGGAAAAGAAAAGAUCUUCUUCGGCAGUGAUGACACGAAAGGGAAGAAACGGCCAGCCCGUACUGUGGAAGUGGAUUCUGAGAUCCUGGAAAUUGUUCUGCACUAUGAUGGAGAAUUUGGAGAAGGUGGUUAUUUGUGGGGCGACGUGUGUGCAAGAUGUUUUGACAUUUCCCAACUGUCACUGAAUAGGCUUGAUUUGUGGGCCAAAAAAAUUGGAGUGA